GUGCCAGCAGCCGCGGUAAUACAGAGGUCUCGAGCGUUGAUCGGAAUUAUUGGGCUUAAAGGGUGCGUAGGCGGUCCCGUAAGUACUUUGUGAAAUCCCAUGGCUCAACCAUGGAAUUGCUCGGUAGACUGCGGGACUUGAGGUUGGUAGGGGUCGCUGGAACUCUAGGUGGAGCGGUGAAAUGCGUAGAUAUCUAGAGGAACGCCAAAGGUGAAGACAGGCGACUGGGCCAAUUCUGACGCUGAGGCACGAAAGCGUGGGUAGCGAACGGGAUUAGAUACCCCGGUAGUCC
rnacentral:rRNA from 1 species